GAAGAGCUUCGGAGCCCUCACCAGAAUCACCCUUAAUGAAGAGUCACAGGGAGAAGACGUCCACACACGCAUGACGAGACGGGCCUGGAACAGAGCCUUCCCGCACAGCCUCAGAAAGGACCCACCCUGCUGACACCUUGAUCUUGGACCCAUGGCCUCCAGUACUGCGAGAUGGUCCAUGGAAGAGUUGUCUUCAAGAAAACUGCUCUCUGGUGCCAAAAAGUUUGGAGACCGCUGAUGUAAAUGUUUCUAAGAAUAGUUAAGCAACUUAAACUUUACAUGCUACGAAGAAUACAGGUUUAAAUGCUAAUAAAAAUAGGUGCAAAUGAAAA